GACGAACGCUGGCGGCGUGCUUAACACAUGCAAGUCGAACGGAAAGGCCCUGCUUUUGUGGGGUGCUCGAGUGGCGAACGGGUGAGUAACACGUGAGUAACCUGCCCUUGACUUUGGGAUAACUUCAGGAAACUGGGGCUAAUACCGGAUAGGAGCUCCUGCUGCAUGGUGGGGGUUGGAAAGUUUCGGCGGUUGGGGAUGGACUCGCGGCUUAUCAGCUUGUUGGUGGGGUAGUGGCUUACCAAGGCUUUGACGGGUAGCCGGCCUGAGAGGGUGACCGGCCACAUUGGGACUGAGAUACGGCCCAGACUCCUACGGGAGGCAGCAGUGGGGAAUAUUGCACAAUGGGCGGAAGCCUGAUGCAGCAACGCCGCGUGCGGGAUGACGGCCUUCGGGUUGUAAACCGCUUUCGCCUGUGACGAAGCGUGAGUGACGGUAAUGGGUAAAGAAGCACCGGCUAACUACGUGCCAGCAGCCGCGGUGAUACGUAGGGUGCGAGCGUUGUCCGGAUUUAUUGGGCGUAAAGGGCUCGUAGGUGGUUGAUCGCGUCGGAAGUGUAAUCUUGGGGCUUAACCCUGAGCGUGCUUUCGAUACGGGUUGACUUGAGGAAGGUAGGGGAGAAUGGAAUUCCUGGUGGAGCGGUGGAAUGCGCAGAUAUCAGGAGGAACACCAGUGGCGAAGGCGGUUCUCUGGGCCUUUCCUGACGCUGAGGAGCGAAAGCGUGGGGAGCGAACAGGCUUAGAUACCCUGGUAGUCCACGCUGUAAACGGUGGGUACUAGGUGUGGGGUCCAUUCCACGGGUUCCGUGCCGUAGCUAACGCUUUAAGUACCCCGCCUGGGGAGUACGGCCGCAAGGCUAAAACUCAAAGGAAUUGACGGGGCCCCGCACAAGCGGCGGAGCAUGCGGAUUAAUUCGAUGCAACGCGUAGAACCUUACCUGGGUUUGACAUGGAUCGGGAGUGCUCAGAGAUGGGUGUGCCUCUUUUGGGGUCGGUUCACAGGUGGUGCAUGGCUGUCGUCAGCUCGCGUCGUGAGAUGUUGGGUUAAGUCCCGCAACGAGCGCAACCCUUGUUCACUGUUGCCAGCACGUUAUGGUGGGGACUCAGUGGAGACCGCCGGGGUCAACUCGGAGGAAGGUGGGGAAGACGUCAAGUCAUCAUGCCCCUUAUGUCCAGGGCUUCACGCAUGCUACAAUGGCUGGUACAGAGAGUGGCGAGCCUGUGAGGGUGAGCGAAUCUCGGAAAGCCGGUCUCAGUUCGGAUUGGGGUCUGCAACUCGACCUCAUGAAGUCGGAGUCGCUAGUAAUCGCAGAUCAGCAACGCUGCGGUGAAUACGUUCCCGGGGCU
rnacentral:rRNA from 1 species